rnacentral:rRNA from 1 species
GUCUACGGCCAUGCUACCCUGAACAAACCCAAUCCCGUCUGACCUUGGAAGCUAAUCAGGGUUGGGCCUGGUUAGUACUUGGAUGGGAAACACCUAAGAAGACCAGAUGCAGUAGGUG